rnacentral:rRNA from 1 species
AUUGAACGCUGGCGGCAGGCCUAACACAUGCAAGUCGAACGAGUGGCGGACGGGUGAGUAAUGUCUGGGAAACUGCCCGAUGGAGGGGGAUAACUACUGGAAACGGUAGCUAAUACCGCAAACCAUCGGAUGUGCCCAGAUGGGAUUAGCUAGUAGGUGGGUGAACGGCUCACCUAGGCGCCGAGCCCUAGCUGGUCGGAGAGGAUGACCAGCCAAACUGGAACUGAGACACGGCCCAGACUCCUACGGGAGGCAGCAGUGGGGAAGUUUGGACAAUGGGGGAAACCCUGAUCCAGCCAGCCCGCGUGUGCGAUGAAGGCCUGCGGGUUGUAAAGCACUUUUGGCAGGAAAGCGUUACCCGCAGAAGAAGCACCGGCUAACUCCGUGCCAGCCGCCGCGGUAAUAC